rnacentral:rRNA from 1 species
CUACGGGAUGCACCAGUGAGGAAUAUUGCACAAUGGAGGAAACUCUGAUGCAGCAACGCCGCGUGGAGGAUGACGCAUUUCGGUGUGUAAACUCCUUUUAUAUGUCAAGAAAAUGACGGUAGCAUAUGAAUAAGCUCCGGCUAACUCCGUGCCAGCAGCCGCGGUAAUACGGAGGGAGCAAGCGUUACUCGGAAUCACUGGGCGUAAAGGACGCGUAGGCGGGAUAGAAAGUCAGGUGUGAAAUCCUAUGGCUCAACCAUAGAACUGCACUUGAAACUUCUAACCUAGAGUAUGGGAGGGAAGAUGGAAUGAGUGGUGUAGGGGUAAAAUCCGUAGAUAUCACUAGGAAUACCAAAAGCGAAGGCGAUCUUCUGGAACAAUACUGACGCUAAGGCGUGAAAGCGUGGGGAGCAAACAGGAUUAGAUACCGGUGUAGUC